rnacentral:rRNA from 1 species
UACGUAGGGUGCGAGCGUUGUCCGGAAUUAUUGGGCGUAAAGAGCUCGUAGGCGGUUUGUCACGUCUGCUGUGAAAUCCCGAGGCUCAACCUCGGGCCUGCAGUGGGUACGGGCAGACUGGAGUGCGGUAGGGGAGGAAUGGAAUUCCUGGUGUAGCGGUGGAAUGCGCAGAUAUCAGGAGGAACACCGAUGGCGAAGGCAGUU